UUCCUUGGGGAUUAAGAUUUGAAUGUUCUAGGGUUUCUUAGAGAGAAAUUAUGUGAAAAGUAUGCAUAAUAUGCUUAAAAUAGGCUAGAUUCUGUGUCUUACACGAUUUGGAAGCUUAGGAAAUGACUAGGUUGUCCUUUGUAAAAAAUUAAUUUGGAACUAAAAAUCUUGAUUUUGGGCCUCGGCGUGAUGCACCACAAUCGCGGUGGCU
rnacentral:lncRNA from 1 species